rnacentral:rRNA from 1 species
AUGGUACGGAAUUUCUGGUGGGGAUCGGUGGAGGGCAAGAGGAAAACGCAUUGGUUGGCAUGGCCGAAAAUUUUAGCGCAUAAGACCAAGGGAGGCUUGGGCUUCAAAGAUUUCCGUCUCUUCAACCAAGCUCUCCUUGCUCGACGGGCGUGGCAUCUGUUAAUUAAGCCUAAUAGUCUAUGUGCACAGGUACUAAAAGCUCGGUAUUAUCCAGAUGGUCGCCUUGAGGAUACAGUGUUCUCCGGGAACGCAUCCUCGACCUGGCAGGCCAUACAGUAUGGCCUCGAGCUCUUGAAAAAGGGCAUCAUAUGGCGUGUUGGAGACGGCCAAAACAUCCGGAUAUGGCGCGACCGAUGGGUGCCGAGGGAACCCUCGCGCCAACCUAUUACACAGCAAGGCACCUGCCGGCUAAGGAGAGUGGCGGAGCUUCUAGCGGCGGAUGGUUCCUGGCAUAUGGAUCUUCUCCGUCGACACUUCCUCCCGGCGGACGUUGAUACGAUAUCCAGCAUUCGCACCUCGCCGCGCUACACCGACGACAUCAUCGCCUGGGCGCCGGAGAAGAACGGUAUCUUCACCGUUCGUUCCGCCUAUCGAUUUGCCAUGGACGAGCGCAAGCGUCCAUUGGCCACCGCCAUGAGCAGGGCACCGGAUGGUCGUCGCGCCAUCUGGAAGACCAUAUGGGGGUGCCCUGCUCCCCCGAAGGUACGCGUGUUUGCUUGGCGUAUUGUGACCAACUCUCUAGCUACUUGGGCAAAUAAAUUCUCACGUCAUCUUGAGCUUUCUGACAUAUGCCCCAUUUGUGGUGUGGAACGAGAUGAUGGGUUCCAUGCGAUGUGCAGGUGCCCCCUUGCGAAGGAACUUUGGCAUGCCAUGGCGCUAGAUUGGGUCAUCCUGAGGGUUGAAUCCAUUCGCAACACGGGGCCAGAAUGGCUGUUCACCCUCCUUGAGCCUUUGGACGAGACGACGCGUAUGAUCAUACUAAUGAUCAUGUGGAGGACUUGGCACAUGCGGAAUGAGAUCACGCAUGAAAAACGGCCACCUCCAACUGAGUCCUCUCAGCGGUUCCUACAUGGAUAUAUCAGCUCUUUAUUGUGCCUCAAGCAGUACCCCAAUGGUGAUGUUGUGAAGGGGAAAAUGGUGAUCAAUAUUGCGCCACCAGCACAUACAGCCAGCGCCCUAGCUAAAGAGGAGCUGAGCUGGGUCGCUCCUACUACAUGAUGGACCAAGUUGAACAUAGACGGAAGCUUCAUACCGGCUACAGGUAUGGCAGGAGGUGGGAUGAUCCUCCGGGGCACUCAGGGAAACAUCAUAUUUAGCGCUUGCCAUGAACUCCGUACUUGUGGUAACGCGCUGGGCGCCAAGCUCGCGGCGUGUAGGGAGGGGCUGGAGCUAGCCCUCCACCGGAUGACGCUGCCAAUUUCGGUAGAACUAGAUAGUUCUGAGGCAGUGUCGCUGAUCAUAGCAAAUUCCGAUGAUAGAUCAGUACAUCGCCUCGUGAUCCAGGAGAUUAAAAGCUUGGCCUCAACUGAGGAUAGGGAGAUUUCUUUUACUCUUUGUCGUCGUUCGCAGAAUAAGAUUAGUCAUGAACUUGCUGCUUAUGGCCGUUGUACCCCCCGAACCGCAGUGUGGUUGCACUCGGGGUUAGACUUCAUUGUAAACCUGGCUGUGGCUGAGAGGCCCCCGUGA